UACGAAGGGGGCUAGCGUUGCUCGGAAUCACUGGGCGUAAAGCGCACGUAGGCGGAUUGUUAAGUCAGGGGUGAAAUCCUGGAGCUCAACUCCAGAACUGCCUUUGAUACUGAGAAGCUUGAGUCCGGGAGAGGUGAGUGGAACUGCGAGUGUAGAGGUGAAAUUCGUAGAUAUUCGCAAGAACACCAGUGGCGAAGGCGGCUCACUGGCCCGGUACUGACGCUGAGGUUCGAAAGCGUGGGGAGCAAACAGG
rnacentral:rRNA from 1 species